CAGUAUUUACCGCAUGGUAGAUAUUUGAAAGGAGCAAUUGCUUCACUAUGAGAUGGACCUGCGUUGUAUUAGCUAGUUGGUGAGGUAACGGCUCACCAAGGCUUCGAUACAUAGCCGACCUGAGAGGGUGAUCGGCCACACUGGGACUGAGACACGGCCCAGACUCCUACGGGAGGCAGCAGUAGGGAAUCUUCGGCGAUGGGGGCAACCCUGACCGAGCAACGCCGCGUGAGUGAAGAAGGUUUUCGGAUCGUAAAGCUCUGUUGUAAGAGAAGAAUUGUGAGAAGAGUGGAAAGUUUCUCACUUGACGGUAUCU
rnacentral:rRNA from 1 species